UACGUAGGGACCAAGCGUUGUUCGGAUUUACUGGGCGUAAAGGGCGCGUAGGCGGCAUUAUAAGUCACUUGUGAAAUCUCCGGGCUUAACUCGGAGCGGCCUAGUGAUACUGUAAAGCUAGAGUGCAGAAAGGGCAAUCGGAAUUCUUGGUGUAGCGGUGAAAUGCGUAGAUAUCAAGAGGAACACCUGAGGCGAAGGCGGGUUGCUAGGCUGACACUGACGCUGAGGCGCGAAAGCUAGGGGAGCAAACGGG
rnacentral:rRNA from 1 species